rnacentral:lncRNA from 1 species
GCCGAUGUCUAUUGACAGACAUGAUGUAAGAUAAUGUAAAAACCAAGUUAAUAGAGCUAUGCCUCUCUUGAAGCAAAGCAGAUGGCUGCCAUGUAUCCACAAUUGUCUAUGAUUCAAAUCGCCACUCAGAGAACAAGUACCAGUGGAGCAGCUACAUUUAUUUAGUGUGAUCUUCAGGAAUCAACAAAGACAUGCUGAUACACAGAUUUCUCUGCUGCUUGACUUCUAUGAUUUGAUUCCAGUUAAUACUUGCUUUGGGGCAUUCGGAAAUAAAUUCUAUGAAAAGUAUCAUCAAGUAUUAGAUGCCUAUUAACUGAGACUGGAUUGCAACUUCUCAUAAUUCGAUCAACUGAUCAUUGUAUGGUCUGACUUUAACACCAUUGGGCGUUAUAAUAAAUAACACAUUCAAAGGC